UUGGGUUUCUGUUUUGUAAAAUCAUUAUUGAGAUUCAGGAGAUGUACCGUCGUGAAUAGUCUAUGAGUUAAGCUUUGAUUCCGUCGAUUCGUAUUUGGCUUAUAUCCUCCGAAACGAUGUCUUGAUUCAUAACUUGUUAACUCCAUCAAUUCACAUCAUUCAAUGUUAUUUAUCUCUCUUAUAUAGGCGGUGUAUCUCCCCUAUAAAAAGUUUCUAGGGUUCAUGUCUACUGCAAGCUCUAAUUAGGUCAACCAACAAUGGAGGCUGUAUCCGGUGGUUCCCGGAUCUACCAUACUCCCACACUCGGUUCUGUUGUAAACUCCAUAAAAUGGAAUCAUACGAAUUUAGUUGUAGCGAGGUCGGAAGAUGAUAAGAACAUAUACAUAUGUGGCAAAAAGAUUGAGUAUAGUUUGGGAAUUCAAAAAGAUGAGAAUAGUCUAUAAUAUCUUGCAGAAUUCUAAAUUCGAGGAGUAGAGGAGUAACCGAGAGCGUGAUGUCAUCCUCAAGGAAAUGCAAGAGUGACGACUCAACAGCAAGAGAUGUAAACUGUAAUUUAUUCAAGACAAAGAUGCGAGCAAGUGUCUAUGAUUCGAGUGAGGCUAGCAGUGGAUGGACUGUGGUAACUGGAACCAUGGCAGGUCAAUUUUUAUAUUUCAGAUUGUUAUCUGAUAAAGAGGGGCACAAUAAGUGGUUCGGUGGUGGUUAAAACGAAACAUGCGAUUGCAGCUAAAGUCCGAUCUUAUGGGUUUUUGUCGGGUUGUAAGCGAAACAAAGCUGUCUUGGUUGUUGAUAGUACUAUAAAUCUCUAUUAGUUGAUCCGAUGUGUGUAGCUAUGACCAGGCAGGAACAUAUGUAUAUAAGUUGAUAUAUUUUGGUGAUAAUUUUGAUGAAUUCUAAACGAUUGAGGGGAAUGUUCUC